rnacentral:rRNA from 1 species
GGGAUUGCCUCAGUAACGGCGAGUGAAGCGGCAACAGCUCAAAUUUGAAAUCUGGCCCUUUUGGGGUCCGAGUUGUAAUUUGUAGAGAGUGUUUCGGGUGAGAUCACGGUCUAAGUCUGUUGGAACAUUACGUCAUAGAGGGUGAGAACCCCGUAUGCGACCGUGGCUCGAGCCCAUGUGAAGCCUCUUCGACGAGUCGAGUUGUUUGGGAAUGCAGCUCAUAAUGGGUGGUAAAUUUCAUCUAAAGCUAAAUACUGGCUGGAGACCGAUAGCGCACAAGUAGAGUGAUCGAAAGAUGAAAAGCACUUUGGAAAGAGAGUCAAACAGUACGUGAAAUUGUUGAAAGGGAAGCGCUGGCAACCAGACCUGCCCGCGGGCGAUCAGCCGCUGUUCUCAGCGGUGCACUCGUUCCACGAUCAGGCCAGCAUCGGUUUCGGCGGUCGGAUAAAGGCUCGGGGAACGUGGCUCCCUCUCGGGGGAGUGUUAUAGCCCCGGGUGCAAUGCGGCCAGCCGGGACCGAGGACCGCGCUUCGGCUAGGAUGCUGGCGUAAUGGUUGUCAGCGACCCGUCUUGAAACACGGACCAAGGAGUCUAACAUCUAUGCGAGUGUUUGGGUGUCAAACCCAUACGCGGAAUGAAAGUGAACGGAGGUGAGAACCCUUUAGGGCGCAUCAUCGACCGAUCCAGAUGUCUUCGGAUGGAUUUGAGUAUGAGCAUAGCUGUUGGGACCCGAAAGAUGGUGAACUAUGCCUGAAUAGGGUGAAGCCAGAGGAAACUCUGGUGGAGGCUCGCAGCGGUUCUGACGUGCAAAUCGAUCGUCAAAUUUGGGUAUAGGGGCGAAAGACUAAUCGAACCAUCUAGUAGCUGGUUCCUGCCGAAUU